GGUCAUCGCGCUUGGUUGAAAAGCCAGUGGCGCGAAGCUACCGUGCGUUGGAUUAUGACUGAACGCCUCUAAGUCAGAAUCCGGGCUAGACCGACGCAUGCGCUCGUCGCCCGUUUGCCGACCCGCAGUAGGGGCCAUUUGGCCCCAAGGGCACGUGUCGUUGGCUAAGCCGUCGUGGCGGAAGGGUCACGGUGGCCGCCUUGAAUUACAAUUCCGAUCGAGCGGCGAGCUGAAUCCUUUGCAGACGACUUAAAUACGCGACGGGGUAUUGUAAGGGGUAGAGUGGCCUUGCUGCCACGAUCCUCUGAGAUUCAGCCCUUUGUCGCUCCGAUUCGU
rnacentral:ncRNA from 1 species